rnacentral:lncRNA from 1 species
GCCAAGAAAUAUUCUAUUAUUUCUUAUUAAGGCAUAUUAAGUAUUUGAAAAAGUCUGACUUCAUAAGUUUUGAUCAACGAUUAGUUAAAUAGUAUCUAUGCUUAGUGGAAAUGAGUUAUACAGCUAUUUCACAUAUUUUCAAUAUGAUAUUAAUUUUAUAAUAAUUGAUAAUGUAUUCCAAGAUAAAUCAAUGGUCAAUUUUUUUUCCAAAUACGUGGAAUCUAUUUUUUUGGAAACACACAAACGAUCACAAAU